UCUCUCUGAAUCUGCGAACGGCUCCGCAAACCAGUUGUAAACUAUAGCAAGCAAGCUCGUGCUCCCUCGGGGGUGCGGGCAACAUGGAUAACCCUGGUAAUUCUGAGGCUAAUACAAGAACGUACUCCCCGGCUGACUGGGCAACUGGAAAGUCGGGAGGUGUGUGAUUUGGCACGAGGAACUGCUGGGAAUGGACACACGCCUGGACCGCGCUAAAGACAGAUGCGUCCCCUCUCGGGGGGGCGUGCCUGAGCGGCUCUUGCUUUGUGCUUCUGACCUAUCAACUAGAUGGCAGCGUAACGGACAUGCUAUGGUUACAACGGGUACAGAGGAUAAGGGUUCGAUCCUGGAGAGUGGGCCUGAGAGAUU
rnacentral:rRNA from 1 species